rnacentral:rRNA from 1 species
GAUGAACGCUAGCGGCAGGCCUAAUACAUGCAAGUCGAACGGUAACAUGAGUAGCAAUACUUGAUGACGAGUGGCGCACGGGUGCGUAACGCGUAUGCAAUCUACCUUUAACUGGUGAAUAGCCCGAAGAAAUUCGGAUUAAUACACCAUAGUAUAGUUGAAUUGCAUCAUUUAACUAUUAAAACUCCGGUUGUUAAAGAUGAGCAUGCGUGACAUUAGCUAGUUGGUGAGGUAAUGGCUCACUAAGGCUACGAUGUCGAGGGGAUCUGAGAGGAGUAAACACCACACUGGUACUGAGACACGGACCAGACUCCUACGGAAGGCAGCAGUAAGGAAUAUUGGACAAUGGACGCAAGACUGAUCCAGCCAUGCCGCGUGAAGGAUGACUGCCCUAUGGGUUGUAAACUUCUUUUGUAUGGGAAAAAACCUCUUUACGUGUAAAGAGCUGAUUGUACCAUAAGAAUAAGGAUCGGCUAACUCCGUGCCAGCCGCCGCAGUAACAC